rnacentral:rRNA from 1 species
CCUACGGGAGGCAGCAGUGAGGAAUAUUGGUCAAUGGACGCAAGUCUGAACCAGCCAUGCCGCGUGCAGGAUGACGGCUCUAUGAGUUGUAAACUGCUUUUGUACGAGGGUAAACCCCGAUACGUGUAUCGGUGUGAAAGUAUCUUACGAAUAAGGAUCGGCUAACUCCGUGCCAGCAGCCGCGGUAAUACGGAGGAUCCGAGCGUUAUCCGGAUUUAUUGGGUUUAAGGGGUGCGUAGGCGGUUUGAUAAGUUAGAGGUGAAAUGUCGGGGUUCAACCCCGAAACUGCCUCUAAUACUGUUGGACUAGAGAACAGUUGAGGUAGGCGGAAUGUAUGGUGUAGCGGUGAAAUGCUUAGAGAUCAUACAGAACACCGAUUGCGAAGGCAGCUUACCAAACUAUACCUGACGUUGAGGCACGAAAGCGUGGGUAGCAAACAGGAUUAGAUACCCGUGUAGUC